CUAAUACAUGCAAGUCGAGCGGACAGAUGGGAGCUUGCUCCCUGAUGUUAGCGGCGGACGGGUGAGUAACACGUGGGUAACCUGCCUGUAAGACUGGGAUAACUCCGGGAAACCGGGGCUAAUACCGGAUGGUUGUCUGAACCGCAUGGUUCAGACAUAAAAGGUGGCUUCGGCUACCACUUACAGAUGGACCCGCGGCGCAUUAGCUAGUUGGUGAGGUAACGGCUCACCAAGGCGACGAUGCGUAGCCGACCUGAGAGGGUGAUCGGCCACACUGGGACUGAGACACGGCCCAGACUCCUACGGGAGGCAGCAGUAGGGAAUCUUCCGCAAUGGACGAAAGUCUGACGGAGCAACGCCGCGUGAGUGAUGAAGGUUUUCGGAUCGUAAAGCUCUGUUGUUAGGGAAGAACAAGUGCCGUUCAAAUAGGGCGGCACCUUGACGGUACCUAACCAGAAAGCCACGGCUAACUACGUGCCAGCAGCCGCGGUAAUACGUAGGUGGCAAGCGUUGUCCGGAAUUAUUGGGCGUAAAGGGCUCGCAGGCGGUUUCUUAAGUCUGAUGUGAAAGCCCCCGGCUCAACCGGGGAGGGUCAUUGGAAACUGGGGAACUUGAGUGCAGAAGAGGAGAGUGGAAUUCCACGUGUAGCGGUGAAAUGCGUAGAGAUGUGGAG
rnacentral:rRNA from 1 species